GACGGACGGUGCAAGCGUUGCUCGGAAUCACUGGGCGUAAAGGGUGCGUAGGCGGCCGUGCAAGUCUGGCGUGAAAGCCCCGGGCUCAGCCCGGGAAGUGCGCUCGAAACUGCGCGGCUCGAGUGCCGGAGGGGAGAGUGGAAUUCCUGGUGUAGCGGUGAAAUGCGUAGAUAUCAGGAGGAACACCGAUGGCGAAGGCAGGUCUCUGGGCAUUAACUGACGCUGAGGAGCGAAAGCAUGGGGAGCGAACAGG
rnacentral:rRNA from 1 species